rnacentral:misc_RNA from 1 species
AAGUCGUAACAAGGUUUCCGUAGGUGAAGGAUCAUUAACACGUAUCCAACGUUAAACCCCCCUGUGAACUUUUAUACUUGCUCUCUUAACUGACGGAAUUGCAAUCCCUGGUAAAUCAUUGUUUUUGAACAGAUUUUGAUUCAGGGACCUCAGUUUGGCAGUUAGGAUUGAGCGAUCGUUGGAAGUGGCCUGGGUAAGGAUAACGCUUUUCGAUCACUAGAGGCCGACACGUGACCAGGUUGCCGUGGCUUCGGCCCCCUAGGAAACUGCUGGGCAACAAAACGAACAACUGUUCACAAUGGAUAUCUUGGUUCUC